UUCAUUAGCUUCUGUUUAGUGAACGGGUCGGCGAGAAGUUUUUCCGACAACCAGUCAGACCAUUUCAUCUCAUGCCGCGCAACAGUCAGACAGCACCGAAAUCACAAGAUCCGGCGUAGGAAAGUCUUGACAACUAGAGGCCAAACGAUAGUGGACUCCUAGGGCAACCAUUCAUCCAACUAAUCGCUUCCGAUCCGGUCCAAGGAUCCAUCUGGCGUCUAAACCUUUCAUGAAUUGUUCGAAAGGAACUGUCCGCCAACAAACAUCGUUCAAUGUGCCGGUUCAAAACUCUGGAAAAAUCGACUGUGUGAACAUGAACU